AAUACGUAGGGGGCUAGCGUUGUCCGGAUUUAUUGGGCGUAAAGAGCGUGUAGGCGGCCAGGUAGGUCCGCUGUGAAAACUCGAGGCUCAACCUCGAGAGGUCGGUGGAAACCAUCUGGCUAGAGUCCGGAAGAGGAGAGUGGAAUUCCUGGUGUAGCGGUGAAAUGCGCAGAUAUCAGGAAGAACACCAAUGGCGAAGGCAGCUCUCUGGGACGGUACUGACGCUGAGACGCGAAAGCGUGGGGAGCGAACA
rnacentral:rRNA from 1 species